CCUACGGGGGGCUGCAGUGGGGAAUUUUGGACAAUGGGGGCAACCCUGAUCCAGCCAUGCCGCGUGAGUGAAGAAGGCCUUCGGGUUGUAAAGCUCUUUCGGACGGAAAGAAAUCGCACGGGCCAAUACCCCGUGUGGAUGACGGUACCGUAAGAAGAAGCACCGGCUAACUACGUGCCAGCAGCCGCGGUAAUACGUAGGGUGCGAGCGUUAAUCGGAAUUACUGGGAGUAAAGCGUGCGCAGGCGGUUUUGUAAGACAGACGUGAAAUCCCCGGGCUUAACCUGGGAACUGCGUUUGUGACUGCGAGACUAGAGUGCGGCAGAGGGGGGUAGAAUUCCACGUGUAGCAGUGAAAUGCGUAGAGAUGUGGAGGAAUACCGAUGGCGAAGGCAGCCCCCUGGGUCGACACUGACGCUCAUGCACGAAAGCGUGGGGAGCAAACAGGAUUAGAUACCCUGGUAGUCUA
rnacentral:rRNA from 1 species